UCCAAUAAAUACCCUUGAUGGAGGUUUUGUCUUUUUCAAAAGGGGGGUGGGUUGAGAUAGGAGAUAGGAAGUAAAAAAUGGCAGUCAAGGUGGCAGUUGUAAGCCAGUCCGCUGGUCAGGACAGAUCCAAAAAUAAGGAAACCUACAACAAUGAUCAAAGUAAACAAAAAUACUUUCAGCCACAGUGAAUAAGGCUCUACCUCUUCCUGAGGAAUCACUGUUAAUAACUCCUCUUGCAGAUUGUGAUCACAGUCCUCAGCUUGCUUUCUGCUAAGUUCCAGCUGAGCUUCCUCCAAUUGGUCCUUCAGAUCACGGGCUGAUUUCUUCACAUCCUCUUUUCCCCGCCAGCUGCUGUAAUUCACCCAGCUUCUCAUGUAGCUCUGGAUUGGUAACACAGACACAGCUCUCCUCAAACAUGGACGCGUCUGCACUCUCAGGCAUGAAAUUGAGCAUCAAUGGUGAUGGCGACUUCAUGAAGGAGCAGAAACUGAUUCCAUAUCCAGCUUCCUCCCUGCUGAUUGUCACCUCCACAGGGCCAGAGGAAGAGGCUGGGCCACUCCCAUCCAAAGUGGACCUGGACCAGUCCAACAUCUAGGAGCCAAAGCUGGAGCAGAGAAGGCACCUCUCCCUUCAUGAAUAAUCUUUAGAUUAUUUUUUAUCCUCUGGUGCAAGGCCUGUACUUCUUGUGGUCGAGAACUUGCAGAACAUUUUGUGUAACUGAUUUGUCUUGUCUCCCUUUGAUGCUUUUAAAAUUGGAGUGAUGAAGAGUUUGUUUUUCUGUUUAUUGUUAUAACUGAGGCAUUAUAGUAAAAGUCAAAUAGGUUUUGGGUUUUCCUCAUGUGUGCAUUAGGUGUGUACUUAUUUUACUGAAUAAUGUCCAAGUGAACUGCUUGACUUGAACUGAUCCAGGUUUCAUCCACAAUCCCAACUCUUGGUAAUAUGGAUUGUACUAAUGUUGCAGAUUCACCUGGUUUGUUCUAAUGUUUCUACUGCAGUAAUUUCCAGAUUAUAUUGACUUGUACAAUAAAAUGUUAUGCUCUUGAUCUUAACAGUGAUGGUACAUGCAGUCGCUCUUUCCCACUUUGCCGUUUUUUAUUCUUGUAAUGAUGGUUCACCAUUAAAUACAGUGGAGUGAA